CCUCCUUGCUAUUGAAGCAAUCUCACUGAAAGAUUUCAGAGCCAACUCUACUUUUUAUCAAGUAAUUUCUCCAUACCACUGAUCAAAUUUGACAGUUUUUCAUACUGCAAAAGAAAAAACAUAUAAAAAUGAUAUAUAUUUAUAGUUAAUGAGAUGAAAAUUAAAGUUUAAAACAAACCUCAGCCUCCAAUUGGGCAAGCUUCAUUGUUUCAAUAUGUUUCUUGUGUUCUUCACUACAAGUACAUGCUGGAAUGUUCUUCAAACUUUCACUCAGCAAUUUGUGUUCCAGAAGGAGCAUUUCGCAUUCGAGCUUAAGUACCUUAUUUUCCAAUUUUGCUCUAACAUUUGAAAGCACCAUAAAAGGUCUGUGAAGAUUGAAAACUAAAUUACAAGAAGAAAAAAAAGGACAUUAUAUUGAAAAGAAACUCACCUGAUAAGUUCUAGUUUUGAACUACAACCCUGAUUUCCAGAAGCCAUUAGUUAAAAAAUAGAGCAAAUUAAGAUAAACCUUUUUUUUCC
rnacentral:lncRNA from 1 species